GAUGAACGCUGGCGGCGUGCCUAAUACAUGCAAGUCGAGCGAACAGACGAGGAGCUUGCUCCUCUGACGUUAGCGGCGGACGGGUGAGUAACACGUGGAUAACCUACCUAUAAGACUGGGAUAACUUCGGGAAACCGGAGCUAAUACCGGAUAAUAUAUUGAACCGCAUGGUUCAAUAGUGAAAGACGGUUUUGCUGUCACUUAUAGAUGGAUCCGCGCCGCAUUAGCUAGUUGGUAAGGUAACGGCUUACCAAGGCAACGAUGCGUAGCCGACCUGAGAGGGUGAUCAGCCACACUGGAACUGAGACACGGUCCAGACUCCUACGGGAGGCAGCAGUAGGGAAUCUUCCGCAAUGGGCGCAAGCCUGACGGAGCAACGCCGCGUGAGUGAUGAAGGUCUUCGGAUCGUAAAACUCUGUUAUUAGGAAAGAACAAAUGUGUAAGUAACUGUGCACGUCUUGACGGUACCUAAUCAGAAAGCCACGGCUAACUACGUG
rnacentral:rRNA from 1 species